rnacentral:misc_RNA from 1 species
GACGGGAGGUGCAAGUCCUUGUCAGCAUGACUGGGCGUAAAGGGUGUGUAGGUGGUGAUGAAAGUUGUAUUGGUCGUGAAAAAUGUAGAGUGGUAUCCCUCAUACAAUACUUCAUCGCUAGAGUAAUGUAGGUGGUAGUGGAAUCACAGAGUCGUUGCACGGAAGUGCCCAAACGAGUGGGAACGCUAAUAGGUGUAGACGUAUACCAAUACAUUACUGACGCUGAGGCACAAAGGCAUGGGUAUCAAAUGAG